AGAGAUCUCGUCGUUGUGUGAGCUCCGGCGGCACCGCUUCAAACACGUCUUGUGGUCAUGAGAUCGUAGGCUGAUUUUGUUGGCUGGGCUUGUGAGCAGAUGCACGUGCGUCAGGACCCCGUGCUGUCCUGCAGGACGCCUGAGUGACGGCGUGGGAAUGUGGGUCGUUUGAUCCACUCUCAGCUUCUCUGCUUUUAAUAAGGGAUGUUUGAACUGUUACACUCAGCCAACAGAAGCAUGUGGACAGACAUUGACUGUAAUGAAGGACAUCUGCUGAUGCACAGGCAGAAGCAUAACGCCUGCUGGACAUUGUGCUGGAGCUCGGGGAGGACACCAUGAUCCCCCACACCUUCUCACUCACACCAGACCAUUCACUCAUAUCACAGAGAUCUGGCUGGACUUGAACCAGCAACCUCUGAAACCAUGAGGCAGUGCUCUUACCACUGAGCCACAGAUCUCUUGUCUGAACAUGUGCAGGAACUUAUAUUUCACUAUUCUCCCUGUCAUUUUACAAUGAACCAAAAAAAAAAAAAAAAAACCUUGUUUUGACCCAAUGAGGUGGGAUUUGAACCCAAGACAUUGCCACAGUCCUGAUUGUGAAUAGCAACUGUUUAGCCAUUAGUGCCACAAUGGCAUUCACUCAUGGCCAAUUUGUUGUAUAUAAUGCAAUACAUGAGCUUUAACGUAAGCAAUUGUGAGGCUUUAACUCAGGACUCCAUGAGCCCAACACAACACUCUGCAUCCUGAGCCACUGACCCAGCUGAGUUAACUCUUGUUUUGGACG
ensembl:lncRNA